rnacentral:tRNA from 6 species
GGGCCGGUAGCUCAGCCUGGAAGAGCGCUCGGCUUGCAACCGAGAGGUCCCCGGGUUCAAAUCCCGGCCGGUCCA